CGCCCUAGCAAGCAGCUUCCUUCUUACCACCCCAAAGCCAAACCAACCGCCUGAUUCUCCCACUUUAGAUGCGAUGCGAGGUAGUAGCAGCAACUCCAUCUGCUAUUUCGUUUCGUUUUGAUUCUUUGGUUCUGCUGUUGUGAUGUUCUUCAACUGAAUAUUCUCCUUUGUGAUUCUUGAUGCGCCGGAGGAGAGUUGCAUGCGCGUGCGGACCCGAUCUGAUCGUAGCUCGAGUGCCGAGCCAGGUUUUCAUUGCUCUUGCAGUACGGUUUUUUUUUCUCUUGGAACCUCUCUCCAGAUCAGAUCAGAAGCCUCGUGUGGGUGAUCGAUGAGCACUUGGUGCAAGAUCUGCUGGUUUGAGUCACUCACCCCUAUCCUUCUUCUUUCUCUGUUCUUGUGGUGCUCUUGCGUACGUUUCAACUUUCUUUUACCGGCCGGCAAGACGACGUACGGGCGUGGAGAUGAGCUCCAAGACUUCUUCUAUUACGUGUCUUUUCGUUCGGAAUGGUCUCGGUGUGUUUCUUGCGUCCAUACAUCCGCCGAUGAGGAUGCAUACAUUUGCACAUGUGCUAAGCACAAGUGAUAGCAAUUAAUUAAUUUCUUCAUCUGAGGCGCUAUCUAGAUGCAUUUCGUUCUGAUUUAUCGUUUCGAUUUAGUUGGAUGCAUGUGCCGCAUGAUCAUCUUCCUUCCACUGGCGACAUGAUAACUAUAAUCUCUACACCUCUACUGAGGCGCACCACACGGCCGGGUGGAUUUCUUUCUUCUUUGUCAUAACAAUUUGAUCCAACUCGUACAGUUUAGUUGUCUUUUUUGUGCCGUCGUCGAUGAUGCUCUGAGUUCCGAUCCGUCCAGGAGGGCUGGUUGUUGGAUCGCACCUGUAAAGCACACCGAAACUAACACAGGAGAUUUUUGUGCCGCGUAACUACUUUCGGCUUUUCUUUUUUCUCCUCCUACUUAUCCCUGAGAGGCAAUAUAGCUCACUGUUACAUGCAUAACUAACCGACCUAGCGCAGCUCGAUUUGAUGGUGUCCUCCCACGAUCUGAGUCUGGACGGUGACAAAAGAAACGAGCAAGAAAAGAUGUGUGGGCGUGAACUUCACACGUACUGUACAUAUCAAAGAUAAACAUGCAUGCAUGACUGUACUAGAGCACUAUGGCCCAACAUGCACACGUCCAACUCCACGAAUAUGACUAUUCCUAAUUUGUUGCACGUGCGUCACAGCCACUGCUCUAACAUAUGGAUCCGAUCCCUUUUGCAUGUGCCCUCUUUUUAUCUUUUCGUGCAAACCGGUUGACACAUGCAUGUAUAUAGUAACACAUGCAUGCCUAAGUUACCUUUCCUCUCUCCUCAAAUUUCAUUACUUUUAUUUGUUUUUUGACAGUUUAGAUGGUUUUCAUAUACAUCUGAACUUCUGGUGCUAAGAUCUUUAAAACAAGAUCAAUCAUGGAUAACUUUUAAACAAAUUUUUUGUUAACUACAAUUAAAAUAUGGAGUUUUAGAAGAUUAGCGGUGUUUUCCGUUAAGAACUUUGAUGGGCAUAAUGAAGAACAAUUUAUUUUCACUGCAAAGUGCUAAAUAAG
rnacentral:lncRNA from 1 species